rnacentral:rRNA from 1 species
UACGUAGGGGGCUAGCGUUAUCCGGAAUCAUUGGGCGUAAAGCGCGCGUAGGCGGCCAGAUAAGUCCGGUGUGAAAGUCACAGGCUCAACCUGUGAAUGCCGCUGGAAACUGUCUGGCUAGAGUCCGGAAGGGGCGAGUGGAAUUCCUGGUGUAGCGGUGAAAUGCGCAGAUAUCAGGAGGAACACCAAUGGCGAAGGCAGCUCGCUGGAACGGUACUGACGCUGAGGCGCGAAAGCGUGGGGAGCGAACAGG